AGACCUCUGAUCAGAAAAGACUACCCGCUGAGUUUAAGCAUAUCACUAAGCGGAGGAGAAGAAACUAACCAGGAUUUCCCUAGUAACGGCGAGCGAACCGGAAAGAGCCCAGCUUGAAAAU
rnacentral:rRNA from 1 species